GACUGCGCGCCCGGGCCAGCUGCAUCCCCGCCACGGGCUGUGGGGCCCCUUGCAGGGAACCGCCCGCUUCCCCGCCUGGAGCAGCAGGACUGGAGCUGCAGGCUGCUGGGAAUACAUGAGGCCUCAUGGGAGAGUGUUACCAAAAUACAGAAAGUGUUUCUGGCAGAAGAAAUCCCAGUAAACUUUUAACCAACCAGAGAUCAAUGCAACUAAUGCUGCAAGUGAUACAGCAGAUUUUGAUAUAUGAAAACUACAUUUGUAAAAAUCAUCAUGGCAAACACUAAAGGCAGAGCUAAUCUUCCCUUCUACCCAAAGGCUUUAUAAUAUUAAAAAUAAUGGUGUAGAAAUAUAGACCCCUCCUCCUCAACAGGAAACCAUAUACUUAAGAAAUCUCAUCAUAGUCUUUUGGGGGAAUUUUUCUAAGAAUUGAAAUCUCUAGUGAAUAAGAUCCAUUUCAAAACAAACUGUUAGUUAUUGGAUUAUUUUAAGUAAUUCUCCUUAUACUUACUUCUGGAGAGGAGAGCAUGGUAACACAUUAUCUUUCUCAAGGGGACUUUUUAAUGCAUCAACAACCACUUUGCUCCCUUUCUGCUUGUAACCAAAUUGCUUGACUUUGACAAGUUGUUUAAAACUCUUUAAGUUAGAGUGUGUUACCCUUUACCUGUAAACGUCACCAUAUUACAGUUACUUUCAGGAUUAAAUUUAAUGCCUACAUUUUCUAGA